GGCCGCGUGGUCGAGUGGUUAAGGCGCUCGGCCGGCGACACCGGGUGCGCGGGUUCGUCCCCCACUGUGUGCCU
rnacentral:tRNA from 1 species